GUCCCCGCGGGCUCUGGCUGUGGGCGUGCAAAGUGGAACAAGAAUAGAGAUAGAGAUAUGCCCACCUCUUGGGAUUGGUUCAUCACAGCUUGGAGUGGAAAAAGAGCUUUAGUCAUGUAGCAAGGAUGCAAGACAAAAGCCCAAAAUGGACAUCCACUCUAAAUUUCCAACAUAUCAAGGAAUAAAGGAAAAUGACUUGGAAGAUUCUAGUUGCAUGCAAGCUGAAAGAACAUGCUUGGGGGGCUGGCCCCGUGGUGGAGUGGUUAAGUUCGCGUGCUCCGCUGCAGGCGGCCCAGUGUUUCGUCGGUUCGAAUCCUGGGCACGGACAUAGCACUGCUUAUCAAACCACGCUGAGGCAGCAUCCCACAUGCCACAACUAGAAGGACCCACAACGAAGAAUAUACAACUAUGUAUUGG
rnacentral:lncRNA from 1 species